CAACUACUCCCUCUGUCCCAAAUUUCUUGUCUUAGAUUUGUCUAGAUACGGAUGUAUCUAAUACUAAAAUGUGACUUGAUACAUCCGUAUCUAGACAAAUCUAAGACAAGAAUUUUGGGACGGAGGGACGGAGGGA
rnacentral:pre_miRNA from 1 species